GUCCUUUUGUUAUUUUAUAUAAGGUCUAACCUGCCCAAUGAAUAUUUUAAUGGCCGCAGUAUUCUAACUGUGCAAAGGUAGCAUAAUCAUUUGUCUUUUAAAUGGAGGCUGGUAUGAAUGGUUGGACGAGAUAUAAUCUUUCUUAUUUUUAUUAAUUAAAAUUUAAUUUUUUAGUUAAAAAGCUAAAAUAAAUUUAUAGGACGAGAAGACCCUAUAGAAUUUUAUUUAUGUAAAUUUUAUUUAUUUUUAUUAUAUAAAUAUUAAUUUUAUUUAUAUAAAUUUUGUUGGGGUGACAUGAAACUUUUAAUAACUUUUCAUUUAUUUAUAUCAUUAAUUUAUGUUUUUAUGAUCCAUUUUUAUUGAUUAUAAGAUUAAAUUACCUUAGGGAUAACAGCGUUAUCUUAUUGGAGAGUUCUUAUCGAUAAUAAGGUUUGCGA
rnacentral:rRNA from 1 species